ACAGAGUAGUGCUUGCUACCUUUUUUGUUGUCCGAUGGAGGAAAGAGGAAAGGAAAAGCGAUAAAGACUGGCACACUGAGGUACAGCGGCAGGAAGGAACUGGUCCAAGCCUUUCGAAAGGUUGCAAGAAACACCGGACACAUUCCAGCGUCCUGAUUUUUUCCAAGAUGCUCUGCUACCACAGUCUCUAGAGCCCAACAUACACACAGCCAGGAGCCAUGAGGACAUCACAGCCCUCCGGCCUCCCUCCCCGUUGCCACCCAGCUAGUGCCGUCUUUCAGCACUGUCCCCACUCUGGUACCAAAUUCUGGGGCUCUCCCAGGCU